rnacentral:lncRNA from 1 species
GUCUAUAGCAGGAUGUGUGUAAGUUCUACACAAAUAUUGCACCAUUUCAUUUUAUAUAUAAGGUGCAGUGUUGGCCAAUACUGGCGUCCUCUAGGGUUCUGAAGUCAAUCUCUCACAGACACUGAAGGGUGACUAUCUAUGUCCUGUUAUGGACUGAAUUGUAUUGCCAACCCUUUCACAGUUGUGAGGUCAAAAUGUAAUUCCUGAUGGGCCAACAGAAGCAUUGCAAAAGACCAAGUUUUCCAUGUUAGUAUUAUUUAUAGCCAUGAUUUACCUGUUGAGCUUAAGAAUCUAAAGAAGGCCAUUUAGGUAAUGAGUGAAAUAUCCUGUUCUAUUUGUUUUUCUCCUGUCAAAGUCCACACCAGCUAAAGAAGCACUUUAACUGAGUUGGACAAAACAUUGUGUAGGAAAUGCAACGUGAGAUUGUGUUUAGGCUUCACAAAUCCAGUCUACCCAUGAAUGGCCAUGACACAGGCCUUGAAGGUAGAGGGCUUGCCUGGAGCCAUGACUUGGGUGGCCUGAGCCAGGCCCCGAGAGCUGACCCGCGGCUCAACCUUUGUCACUUGAUCCUCUUUGUAAAUCCCUUAUCUCUCUUUGUCCCUUACUCCUUUGUGUUUUCCUUGAGCUCAUUCUCUAAAAAUAAAACUCAAGGCUACUGAGUUUGUAAGGUUUUCCUUUGAGAGUAACUCUUCUGGUUUCAUUCUGCACAACAAGUGUAUCAUUCAUUGUCAAACCUUUGGACAAAAUUGUGUAAGUUUCUUUGGCAUGGUCCUUGGAAAUUUGUAUCUGGAAA